UGAAUGAAAGAGUACUUGAAACAGUUUAAAGAGAACUGUCGCUCUGGUCUGACUACUGAGUUCCUGUUAAUAUAGCAGUUAAGCUUUUUUAUCUCAUUGUGGUCAAAGAGGAAGUCUGAGGUUGACUUAUACAGGUUACCUUCCUCUAUAGAAACUCGGCCUCCUUCAAUACUAUUACUUGAAAUUCCUUUAUCCAAUGCU
rnacentral:rRNA from 10 species